rnacentral:lncRNA from 1 species
AAAUUCGUCAAAUGAGUAUUUGAAUCCUCAUCCUGCAAACCAUCAAACUGAACAAACUGUUGUAUCAUUUGAAUCGUGUUAGGUUUCAGUUCAAAAUUAAUUGCAGUAAUAGCAGGUCUAACUAUACUCGAUUCGGCUCCUGUUAAAGUAGGUUUAGCAUAAUCAUACAUAGUACGGGGAGCAAGAUUCUGAUUUAUUGGAUCUGCAGCAACCAUAGGAGGAAGUUGAUUAUUCUGAUUUUCAGCCAUCUCCUCGGUUGUGAUUUGAAUAUCGUCCUCUUGUCCUUCCUCUAUGUCACAUAAGCUUCGCCUAAUUUCUCUUCGGUUUCUGCGAGCUAUGUGUUCUAUCUCACUAUCAAAAAGUAAUGGUCCUGAUGGGUUUCUUCUAGUCAUAAACUAUAAAAACCUGUCAGAAGGAGAAAGAAAAUUUAGUAACAAAAAUCAACAUAAAAUUUAAAUUGCAAUAAAAUAAAUUGCUAAAAUAAUAAAAAUUAAGUGUUCCUAAUAUUUUAUUUCCCUGACAACGGCGCUAAAAACUUGAUAAUCGUUAAAUCGUGAUAAGUUUUAAAUUUAUAAUUCACCGUACUUGAAAACUAACUAUUAUCACGAUGAAGGCAAGUGCACCUAUCGAACAACAAUAUAGUUUAUAGCAAGACCGAGAUGUCGAACCCACAGGAACUAAAAGUACUAGUAUUAACUCUCUUUUUAUUAUCUAGCCUAAAAAAUAAAAGGGUUUGUUUUAUCUAAAUUAAUUAACUAAACUAAGAAUGCACAGGAAGAAUGUAAUAGGCCCAUUUCGCCCGGGCCCAUAAAAAACCAAAACCAAAAUAACACAAACAAAAAUAAAAAUAAUAUAAAAACCCAAAAACAAUAAAAGUCCAAAUUUAUUAGUCCAAACAGUCCAUUUACAGCCCAAAUUUCAGAACCCAUUAACUCAAAUUGUAGUGGCCCAGUAAUAAGCCCAAUAACCCAAAGUCUUGCAGGAAUAGAAACUUUAGGGUUUCUUUUCCUCUUGCGCCGCAGCCCUCACGAGCAGCCUCGCCACAUCGCACGUGUUCCUCUGUGCCUUCGUACACUCCCAUGAACGACUUCUCCAGCUGGCUCCUCCUGCAGCAGACUAACAGAAACAACAAACAGGCCAUGGACAGUAAAUAACAGCAGAGAAAUUUGUAUUUCUUAUUUAUUUCUUAUUUUUUAUUUUUAGUUUUCGGAUAUAAAACUGAAUGAAAUGGAAUGUAAAGAGGAUCAAUCUUUUUCCCAGCAAUACACACGCAUAUUAAAAAAGAGCAAUCAAAAAUUAAAAAGGUGAUUUCCAAUACGAGUUUCUCCAUACUUUUUAAUUUUCUUGCGAUUCAUUUCCUUCUAUCUUUCAUCAUUGAUUUCAGAAAUAAAAAAGGAGAGAGCGAAGUCUUACCUUACGAGGAUGCCAUGAGUUUCCUUUUGCUUCGUUGAAAUCGAAGCUAAGAGGGGACCUCAAGGCUAAAAAACAAUCAUCGAGGCUUGAAUAUGCUACUGUGGUAGCCGAUUGAUGUUUAGGCAAAAGGGAAUUAGUCGGCCAAGGUGGAAAGUAGGAGAAAAGGGGGGUUAGGGAUUAAUUUCAGUAAAAAAAUAGCAGAGUACCAAUCGUUUUUAAUUUUUAAUGGCAAUCGUUUUGAAGCUUGAGAUAUUUAUGUCUUAGGUCCUUGAUCAUUGGUACAUGUUUCUUUUUAAUCUUUUUUUUUCCUUCAUUUACAAAUUGACCUCUUAAUCUUAUUUUUCAUUUCAACCAAGUUUUGUUUAGUUUAUAUGCUUACUCGC